GCUGUGUGUUUGUUUUUCUACAUUGGCUAGAGGUAAAGGGGAGAGUUGAGAUCUCAAAAACCAUAUUUUACCCCGCCGCAUUUUUGCGUCUGUCCUCAUUCAGGAGCCUCUGACCAUUGUUAGUCUUGAAUAAUUUUUAAUUUUAGUUUAUUGCGUCAUUUAUGAAAUUAGUAUGACGUCCGUUAUCACUAAACUAGUAAACAUUUUUUAGAUGCCAGCUGACGAAUGCAUCCUUCAUUUCUCGCUAUAAUGAAGCCCCAUUGGUAGCUUUCGGCUGUUUCUGCUCUUUGAUCACAUUCCCCAUUCCCCAUUUCUAUCUCAAUUUUAAUUUUACUUCACUUGCUCAUUAACAUCAGACAACAGUUUAACAGCUAAAAGUUAAAAGUAACUGACACAAUCAGUUAGAAAGGGAUUGUUUCAUUCAAUACUUACUCAACACAAAUUCAACUAACAUAGAUAAAAACACGAGAGUGUCGAUCGACAAAUGUAUAUAUGUACACUAACAGUUGUUGUGCUUAUUG
rnacentral:lncRNA from 1 species